rnacentral:rRNA from 1 species
AACGAACGCUGGCGGCAUGCCUAACACAUGCAAGUCGAACGAGACCUUCGGGCUUAGUGGCGCACGGGUGCGUAACGCGUGGGAACCUGCCUUUAGGUUCGGAAUAACUCCCUGAAAUGGGCGUUAAUACCGGAUACUGUUUUCGGACAAGAGAUUUAUCUCCUUUGGAUGGGCUCGCGUUGGUUUAGCUAGUUGGUAGGGUACAAGCCCACCAAGGCGACGAUUCAUGGCUGGUCUGAUCAGAUGAUCAGCCACACUGGGACUGAGACACGGCCCAGACUCCGACGGGAGGCAGGAGUGGAGAAUACUGGACAAUGGGCGAAAGCCUGGUCCAGCAAUGCCGCGUGAGUGAUGAAGGCCGUAGGAUUGUAAAGCUCUUUUACCCGGAAUGAUAAUGACAGUACCGGGAGAAGAAGCUCCGGCUAACUCCGUG